rnacentral:lncRNA from 1 species
AAAAAGAAAACUAUUAUAUAAUUCCUUCCAAUCUCCAUGAACACUCCCUACUUUGAGUUUGUACCAAUGUCUAGCUUUUCCUGUUAAAGAGAAUGGAAAGAGCUUCCAUUUAAGGGUCUCAUCAGACAUGCCUUCAAUGUGAAGGAGGUCACAGACUCGAUAAAACUCUUUUAGGUGUGUGUAUGGGUUUUCCUCACCUUCUCCUGAGAAAGGUUGUUUUUGAACAAAUUCUAUGUAUUCGGGGUCUAUCUCAAAACUAGAAGCUAUGAUAGGCUUUGAAGAUUUUGGUGGUUCGAGAUGUGUGCCCGUAGGUCUAUGAAAUUCAUAGAUAGACAUGUUUGAAUUCAUGAUAGACCAGAGAUCAAGGAUUAGAUAAGAAGAAAGAAUAGCAGAGAUGAGGCAAAGGAUAAAAGGAAAUAUAUUUUUUUAUUUUUUUUAGAAAAUUAUUAAGCUAGUUCGUAGUCAACUCAGCAACCGUCUCCCCGGCAACGGCGCCAAAAAUGCUUGUUGACACUUGCUAACACCACUUGAAUACUAGGUUGUCAUCCCCAGCAUAGCACUAGAGUGUACUAUGGUAUUUAUACGCACACAGAUAAAUCCGCAAGCGCACGGAUACCGUUGUAGCUUUUACCCGGUUAAAGGUUUUAUCGUAUCUACAGGGAAAUGGGAGAACUAAUCUAUGCUCUCACUUAACCUAGAUAGAUAGAUAGGUGUAAAUAGGAAAGAUGGUAGAAUUGAAUAAGAACAAUAUUAAAGGUAAGAUAACAAUGGGUGAUAAUAUGGGAAUAGAGAGUAGAGCAAUCUAGUAUAUGGGCGAUGGUAGGAGAAUAAAGAGGAUAACUUUGGUUUCUCUACUUCAAAGGGGUAUGUCUAUGUCUAGGACGAACCACGUGAUAAGAAUACACCACAAAGGAUGCUUAUCCAUAGGCCGAUAAACCCUACCAGUCCUGCUAACGGGAGGUGGACUACAGGGGACCAACGUAACUGUCACCUACGUGGCCAACCACACAAUCUGGCUAGACAGGGGAUAUCCACAAGUAAUCUAGGUCUAAGCACCACGCUUGCACCUAUACUACAACUCUCACCUAUAGCGUCCUAUAGAUUGAAGUACUCAAAAGAGUUGUGAACCAGAACAUACAUGAAUAGUAAUUGCAAAAUGAAUUAGAAGUAGAUUACUAGAGUAAUCCCAUGAGCAAGCUUGAUUAGAGCUUGAUCAUGGCGAAGUACAACCGGAAGAAGAACCGACAGGCCGG